CUGAGUUUGUUCAUUUUGCUCAAGAUUGCUUUGCUGGUGAGGAGUUUCCCUGGUGUUAGGACUUACUUUCUGGUUCCGGGAAAACUGACACUGACACUGAUAAGAACUGACGUGAUUCUGGAGAUCAUGUUCAGUGGUCAGCACUAACGAACCAGAUCAUUAGACCUCCUGCUGCAAUCUGAGACUCUUACCCUUUGACUGACAUCCCUUCUUUCCCCACUCUUCUCCUUGUCCGGCCGCUGGUAACCCUCCUGCCUGGGUGUCAGCACUAAUGCUCCCUCCGAUCCAAAGACGUGGCGCAUUUUUCCCUCGGUGGUGUCUUCAUGUUCUUUCGUCAGCGUCUUGUCGUUUUCAGAGUGCAGAUCUUUUAGCUCCUUGCAUAAAUGUAUUCCUCAAUAUUUUUAGUAAAUGGGACUAUUCCCUUAAAUUUCUCUGCAGACAGUUCAGUGGUGUAAAGCAGAAAUGCUACUUAUUUUUGUAUAUUGGUUUUAUGACCUGCAAGUUACUGAAUUCAUCUGUUCUGGUUGCUUUUUUUUUUAAUUUUCAAGAAUUUUCUACACAUAAGCUCAUGCUACCCCCAAACAGAAAGCGUCAUACAGCUUCCCUUGCUGUGUGGGUGCAUUUUAUUUUUUCCUGCUGCCUAACUGCUCUGGCUGUGACCUUCCAGGAUGAUGUGGAGUGACCUCCUGGUCUCCAAGGAGACGCCCUCAGCUCGCCUCUGCUCCGACUCCACCUGGGCCUGGCCCCGGGGGGCUCCAUCGUGGUGAGGUUUCGGCUUACUUUGUCUUCUGCUGGUUCCAGCGGUGUAAUGUUGGGUCAUUUAUCUGGGAUUGCUCUGUUUCUGCUUGUCGCUCGGUCGGUCCUGCUGUGGCUGUGCCCAUAAGUCUGGAUAUUAUUGGACCUCGGAUGUACAUGAGAUGUGGGUCUUGGGUUGUCAGAGUGGAUUUCCCUCCUCAUGAAGAUGACUCGAAGCUUCCUUGCUGUCCUCUGCCUCUGGGAGGGCUCCUGCCGGCCACCUUUCCUGGGGAGGACCUCUGUGAUGGCUCUCCCUGGAAGAAGACAAGGUGUCUCCACUAUCAAGCUUUUCCUGCUUUCCUGCACUGACUGUACAGAGGUGGCUGGGACAGUCCUCUCCCCCCUCAGCUGGCUUUAAGCAUUGUAAAUGUAUCUGGGGCAGGUGCUGAUGUGUGACCUUUGAAGCAAUGCUACAGGUCAGGGAUGCCUAAUCUACAGCUCCCUGCUACUGAGUGGGAGCUAGGCUGAGAGGCAGCUGCACUGUGGGCUAGGACUGAGCCUUGAGAAAGAGGCAGGGACGCCCCAGGGCAAGAAAGUUAGACAUCAGAGCUGAAGCAACUGGCCCAAAACACAAGCUACUUCCUCAAACCGAAUUAUGCAGAUUCCUCCUGACUUAGAGGCACUUGUUACUGAAUCAGCUAUCUUGUGCAUGUCACACAGGUGCCACUGUAUCCCUUACCCAGCCCUUACCCUGCCACUCUCACAGCCACCCAACCUCGAGCCACCCCUUCCUCAAAGAUUCCUAAGUGAACUCAGGGUCCCCUGGGCUCCCCACAACUGUGCAUACAUAUUUGUCUAUUUACUCUGUUUGCCUGUCUCUUAAUUCCUGUGGCUGCAGUGGAAGUGGUAGAUCACACACUAGAAUUCCAGUAACUUUUCCCUGGCUUACAAAUAUAAACUCCCCUGGAUGGUGACGAGCUCUGGGCUGGGCUCCUCUGGCUCUUCCCACUUUUGGCUGCAUUGGAGGGUCUUCUCAGCUCCUGCCUCACAGAAUCCAAGGACUUCUCUUUUUUCUUCAUAUUCUUUGCACUUAGGGACUUUAAAAAAAUGUAUACAACUUUUUGUGCAUUAGGAAAGUUUUCAAACUUCAGUUGCUGAGUUAACUCAUUCUGUUUUUUUCUUUUCUUUUCUUUUUUAGUACCAAGGAUUGAACUCACAACCUUGCACUUGCCAGGCAAGUGCUUGUGCCAUGGAGCUAAAUCCCUGGCAAGUAUCUGACCCUGGGUUUGUCUAUAUUAAGCCAGUGACGAAGAUGGUACAUAGCUACUGAGUCACGUUCCAGUGAGUUUUGUUCACAAUUGUAGCUCAUUUAUUCACUUUGCAGACCUCUUGGUGCUUUGCUUUUUGAGCCAGGGUUGCGUACCAUGCAUAGUUCAGUCUGGUCUUGAACUCACUCCUGCCUCAGCCUCCUGAGUGUCAGGACAGUAGCCCUGCCCACCAGACACAGCUCACCUCACACCUUGCUAGCUCCAUCUCCAGGCUCUCCCCCUCCGUCUCCUGCGUCUGCUCCCUAUCCUCCUCUCCCCAAGUUACGUCUUGGAGUUCACUUGUCAGUUUCAGGCUCCUUGCUCUUCUGAGUUUUAGGGGCGGUGAGGAGCUUUUGGUGGGAGGUCAGGGGAUCCAGCUCUGGCUUCUUCCUGGUGGAGUCUCAGUGGCUCAGUGGCUCCCUUGACCCAAGCAUCACACAGCAGCCCUUUGCCCCUUCCAGUGGGACAUGGAAAGGAGGCUGCUCUCGCUGCCCCUCUGGGUCCACCCGGGUUUUGUAAAAUGCCCUCCUCCAAUGUCUUUUGCAGGCUCUUUGGCUGUUCCUUUUGUUUCAGGCCAGGAACUUUGCCAGGCUUGGGGGAAAUGGUGAGCAGAGCAGAUCUUGCCAUCUCUGAAAGGGAAAUGGUCAGGAAGAGGACGGAGUAUAAUCCUGGUGGCCUGUGCCAAGGAAUGUCUUGCCCCCCCCCGGAGGAUGGUGGCCAUGACAGUGACAGCUGGCCAGGUUCUGUCCAGCUAGAGAGUUCUAGGUUCCCUGCCAAAUUUGUUGACCCCCAAAUAACAAGAACUAGAAAUCAGAAUUUCCAAAGCCGAGGUCGGAAGACCUCGCAACUCACACAGGGACUUGCACAGCCUAGAAGGGGAAGUCAAGGCCUGGUGAGGCCAUCCUACCCUUGCUCAAGCUAAUCACUCACUGAUUACUUAUAAGUGCUUCCAGGGGGCGACAAAGGGCCACAGAGGAGCUGGAUGGUCCUCCCAGCCCAGCUGUCUCACUUGCCGUAGGUUCCAUAGAUUUCCAUAGGGUUCCAUCAGUUUCCAUAGCGGUCUACAGAUUUGGAUUCAGACAAUGAUUCAGUAUGAAUCACAUCACUAAUGGAUAAAACUUUCUCUAAUGAACAGCAGCAAAAACUAUUAUGUGAAGUAACAUCCUCAUUUGGAAAUCUUCCCUUCAAUAAAACUAAAUUCUGACCCAUGUUCGUGGUGCAGGGAAGUUUGGAGCUACUCUUCAGCUGGAGAUCUCCGGCUCCUGCCAGGCCUCAGCCAGGUGAGGCCCUGAGGCUAAUCCAGAGCUCACAGCCUCUGAGGCCUUGACUGGAGCCACUGCAAGUUUCCACCCCUGUGGGAGACAAUUUGAGUGACUCCCCUUGAGUAUAGAACAACUGCUGCAACUUUGAUUAUAUGGAGGCUUAUUUCCGUAUACCGACGUGUACAGAGCUGACUGUGGUAUUUCCUUCUGUAUUCUAUUGGCUCUAAGCAUUGCAAACAAGGCCAGCCGAGGUACUGGGAUGUAAUCUCCAAAGCCAUCCAACAGUCUCCUGUUUCCUCACACAGUGUUCUCUGUAAAAGAUGAGUGCAGCGGGAUGGCAGAGCCAGUCAGCUCCAGGAAUGUCAACUGGGUAUGAGCCUCAGGGUAAAGAGGCUAUGAGUCCCCAGGGCACAGAAGUUCCCAUAUCAGAAACAGAAGCAACAGCUUCCUAAAACAAUUCAGUAGCUACCUUAAUUGAAUUAUGCAAAUUAAUCCUUCUGUAUAUCCUUAUCUCUGCAUUUUGCAGAGAUGCUUUUCUCCCUACCUGGCCAGCCAGCUCAAGUUACUCAUGGAGUUCCCCCAUCCUCGCUGUCACUCAUCCCUGACCCACCUGCUUCUUCACAAGAUAAUAAAUUCUGGGAGAGGCCUAGGAUCAGGGCCUUUGUCCACACAUCCUCACAGGGAUUGGACUCAGUACCCCUUGGCUGCCCAUAACUUUGAAUCUGUCUUGGUGUCUUUACUCUCACCAUGGGUUGCACUGGAGGUGGUAGAUGGGAAUUAACUUGCUGGGAUUCCAAUCACAUCUCAAUGGGAUUAUAAAUAUAAUUUUUGGAUUGUGAGGAAGACUGGAAAAGGGAUUACAUUACUUGGAUGACCAUACACAAUAUUUGGGAUUACAAUAUGCCCUGAGUUCAUGACUGCCAUCUCUUUUCUGACUUGGAGGAGGAUCCCCUGAGCCUGCAGGAAAGGUUCUUGGAGGUCACUGUCUCAGGAAUCCAGGAACACAAGGCUGAACACAAACCUAGCUCUGUGGCUUCCAAGGAGCUCAGAACUUGCUGGGGGAGGAGGAAAACUUACCCUGCGCCCCUUUGCCGAGAGUGGGCUAAGGAGGAAGCCGGGCCAGGGCUGCCUGGACCUCCCGACCUUACAGUUCCGGUCCCACUGCUGUGUCCCUGGAUGUCUCUCCUGCUCUUACCUCACUUCGGGUCCGGCCAUGUCAUACGCUUCCCAUCCCUCCCACCCCCUCUCUUCUGGGCCACUUGGACGCCCUAACUUUCUCUGCACAUCUCCUUGUUUUGGGGGCUCUUUAUUCUGCCUGGACAUCUCCAAGGAACUGGCAAGAAAUGAAGAACUCUGAGGUCAGAUUUUCCUUUAGGAGACAAGAAGUUUCCAGAUGUCUUUAGCCUCAAGCAUCAGCCACCACCCAACCUCUCCUCAGCUCUGGGAAAGGGACAGGAUAUGCAGACUCUGGUGUGGAAAGGCCAAGUCCAGCUUUGUUUCCACAGGAAAGGGUGGAGAGGUCCAGUGCUGGGAGGGAUGGAGCAAGCCUAAGCCAGAUGUGGUGGUGCAUGCCUGUAAUCCCAGGCCUGAGGAGACUGAGGCAGGAGGAUCACUGUGAGUUAGAGGCAAGCUCUGACUUAAAAAUCAAACCAAAGAAAACAAGCCUGGACAGGUCUAUUGUGUCCCUGUGUCCUUUCCUGCACUAUGCCUUCUAUCAACAACACACUUGCACUCAGGAAGAUGGCAAUUUGAGAGAUGAGGCCCUGGCCUACACCUUCAACUCUGGAGACUGGGUGACCUGGGGUGAGUGUUCCUGCAUCAUUGUGAGCCCUGGGAGGGGUUAAGAUCUUUGCUCCACAGGCCAGGGAACUUUGCAGCUUCCUGUCGCACUGGACCGGCUCAGCAGAGCUAGAGCCUGCCUGCCCCACCCCCAGUGACCCUCUCUCAUUCUGGGGAACUGGGUGGCCAGAGUCCCAGAAGCUGAGAACAUAGAAGAGGAUUUUCAACAGGUCCAGGGGAAGCCUUGUAAUAACACUUGAAACACGGAAAUAUAGGAAAAUGACAAAAUGAAAGACCAAAAUACAAUCUCAAGCCUCCAGCCCAUCCCAAGAAACCUUAGGAGCUAUGUACAUAGAAGAAAACAUAUGCCAUACACCUGAAAUACCUGAAAUAAUAGCAACUGAAAUAAAGAAGCAACUCCGGGAAGCUUUAAAGGAAUUCAAACUAGAAAUAAUCUCCCAGGUAAAAGAAGAAAUGAUAAAAGAAAUAAAAGAGAUGCUGAACAUAUCUAAAGAAGACACAGUUAAAAAAUUGGAAGAACCAAACAAAAAGAAUCUCUGGAUGAACAAUAUAAGAAACAAACAGAAUACAUGAAGCAGAUGCAAAGAGAUAUACAGGAAAUCAAAAAUUCCAUUGAAAGUUGUAAAAACUGCCUCAAUGAAAGUGAAGAUAGAAUUUCAGAAUUCGAAGACAAGACUGCAGCUAGUGAACAGGAAAGGAAAGAUUUUUUUUGAAAUAUUUUUUAAAAAUAACAAGCAAUCAGGAAAUACCAAUUCAAAGAGUGCAAGAUGAUGCAAAGAAAAACAACAUAAGAUUUAUAGGGAUAAAUGAAAAAGAAGGAGACAACACAAAGGAUGUCAAGAGGAUAUUUAGAGAAGUAAUAGCUCAAGAUUUCCCAAACAUGAGAAUGGAAACUGACAUCAGGAUCAGUGAAGCAUAUAGAACUCCAAAUAGCCAUAACCAAAGUAAAACUACACCCAGGCAUAUAAUAAUCACCAUCCCAGAAAUCCAACAUAAGAAUAGAAUAUUAAAAGCUGUCAGAGAGAAAAGACAGAUCACCUAUAAAGAAAACCUAUCACAGCAGACUUCUCAGCAUAAACAAUAAAGUCAAGAAGAGCAGGGAGUGAAACAUUUCAGAUCCUAAAGGAAAAUGAUUUCCAACCUAGACUGAUGUACCCUGGAAAACUGUCCUUCAAAAUUGAUGGAGAAAUAAGAUACUUCCAUGACAAAGAACAGCUGAAGAACUUCAUGAUCACCAUGCCAGCCCUGCAAAGAAUACUGAAAGACAGUUUAGAUACACUUAGGAAAAAACCACUAAGCAAAGCAGACAAACAGAAUGGAAAGUUAAAGAUGCAACAGCAGAAAGAUAACAUGUCAACAAUAAAUAAAUAUAUAACAGUUAUAACCAUUAAUGUAAAUGGUCUCAAUACACCAAUUAAAAGAAACAGACUGGCAGAAUGUAUCAAGAAACAACAUCCAACCAUAUGCUGUUUACAAGAAACCCAUCUAACCCAAAAGGAUACUCACAGACUGAAAGUCAAAGAAUGGAAAACAAUACUUCAUGCAACAGGAACCCAAAAAACAGCAGGGGCAGCUACUAUGUUUGCAGACAAUGUGAACUUCAAACCAAGAAUGAUCAGAAGAGAUAAAAGAAGAUCAUUACAUACUGGUUAGGGGAAAACUUCAAGAGAAAGAGAUAACAAUCUUAAAUAUACAUGCACCAAAUUCCAGAGCACCCAGUUAUAUAAAGCAAGUAUUAAUAGAAAUGAAAAAACAAAUUAGCAAUAACACAAUUAUAACAGGAGACCUUAACACACCAUUGACACCAAGGGACAGAUCAACCAGACAGAAAAUCAGCAAAGAAAUAACAGAACUGAAUCACACCUGUGAACAAAUGGACUUGAUAGACAUAUACAGAGUGUUCCAUCUAACAACAUCAGAAUGCACAUUCUUCUCAGCAGUACAUGGGACAUUCUCUAAAAUAGGCCAUAUACUAGCCCACAGAACAUAUUUAAAUAAAUGCAAAAGAGUUGAAAUUAUCCCAUGCAUGUUAUCGGAUCAUAGCACCAUGAAACUAGAAAUUAAUGAUAAAUGAUGUGGCAAAAUUCCCACAAACACAUGGAAACUGAAUAACAUACUCUUGAGUAAUCAGUGGGUCACAGGGGAAAUUAAAGAAGAAAUUAAACAAUACCUACAAGCAAGUGAAAAUACAAAUACAACUUACUGGAAUCUGUGGAAUGCAAUGAAAGCUGUCCUCAGAAGAAAAUUUAUUGCACUGAGUUCCCACAUCAGGAAAACAGAAUGAAUACAUACACCUCAAACAUCUAGAAAAAGAAGAGCAAGUCAAGCCCAAAGCCAAAAGAAGGGAGGAAAUUAUAAAAAUCAGAGCAGAAAUUAAUGCAAUAGAGACUAAGAAAACAAUCCAAAGAAUCAACGAAUCAAAGAGUUGGUUCUUUGAAAGAAUAAAUAAAAUUGAUAGGCCCCUAGCCAACCUUAUUAAAAAAAGGGAAGAAGAAACUCAAAUUCCUGCAAUAAGGAAUGAAAAAGGCAAAAUCACUACAGACUCUGUAGAAAUACGGAAGAUCAUUAACACCUAUUUCGAAAACCUCUACUCUCAUAGGUUUGAUAAUACAGAAGAGAUUGAUAGAUUCCUAGAAACAUAUGAAGUACCAAAGCUAGGUCAAGAAGUUGUGAAACUGCUGAAUAACCCAAUUUCUAUUAAUGAAAUUGACAAUGUAAUUAAGUCCUUACUUACAAAGAAGAGCCCAGGCCCAGACAGAUUCAUUGCGGAAUUCUACAAGAAAUACAAAGAAGACCUAAUGCCGACACUCCUCCAACUCUUCAAUGAAAUUGAAAGGGAAGCAAUCCUUCCUAAGUCAUUCCUGGAAGCAAAUAUUACUCUAGUAUCAAAACCCGAGAAAGACCCAACUAAAAAGGAGAACUACAGGCCAGUCUCCCUAAUGAACACAGAUACAAAAAUCCUCAAUAAAAUAUUGGCAAAUAGGAUGCAGCAAAUAAUCAAGAAGAUUAUACACCAUGACCAAGUGGGAUUCAUCCCAGGCAUGCAGGGAUGGUUCAACAUAUAUAAAUCAAUAAAUGUAAUCCACCAUAUCAAUAAAGCCAAAAGUAAAAAUCACACGAUCAUUUCUGUAGAUGCAGAAAAAGCUUUGGAUAAGGUCCAACAUUCAUUCAUGAUAAGAACCUUACAGAAAAUUGGAAUAGAUGGUCUUAACCUCAAUAGGAUAAAGGCCAUCUAUGACAAACCAACAUCCAGUAUCAUACUAAAUGGCCAAAAACUGAAGGCUUUUACCUUAAAAUCAGGCACAAGAAAAGGAUGUCCCUUAUAACCACUCCUAUUUAAAAUAGUACUGGAAAUACUAGCCAGAGCAAUUAGACAAGAGAGAGAAAUAAAAGGGAUAAAGAUAGGCAAAGAAGUUAAAUUAUCAUUAUUUGCGGAUGACAUGAUAAUCUACAUAGAAGACCCCCAAAACUCCAUUGAAAGACUCCUAGAUAUAAUAAAUUCAGCAAUGCAGCUGGACACAAAAUCAAUACUCAAAAAUUAAUAACAUUUCUAUACACUAACAACAAAAUCAGAGAGAGAGAGAGAGAGAGAGAGAGAAAUAAUAAAAGCCACACCCUUCACACUAGCAACCAAAAAAAUGAAAUAUUUAGGAAUUAUUCUCACAAAAGAAGUGAAAGAUCUAUAUAAGGAAAAUUAUAAUACACUGAAAAAAGAAAUUGAAGAGGAUCUCAGAAAAUGGAAAGACAUUCCUUACUCAUGGAUAGGAAGAAUAAAUAUUGUGAAAAUGGUCAUUCUCUCAAAACUGUUACACAGAUUCAAUGCAAUCCCAAUAAAAAUACCAUCAACAUACCACAUAGACCUAGAGAAAUCACCCCGAAAAUUCAUCUGGAACCAGAAGAGACCUAGAAUAGCAAAGACAGUUCUAAACAGCAAAGGACAAGGCAGGAGGCAUCACAAUCCUUGACUUGAAGUUAUACUACAAAGCAACUGUAGUAAAAUCAACAUGGUACUGGAAUCAAAACAGAGCUGAAGAUCAAUGGAAUAGAUUAGAAGAUACAGCCACAACUACAAACACACUCAACCACCUUAUCUUUGAUAAAGGGGCCAAACAUGCUCACUGGAAGAACAACAGUCUCUUUAAUAAAUGGUGUUGGAAAAACUUGCUCUCCAUAUGCCGAAAAUUGAGACUAGACCCAUGCCUAUCAUCAUGUACUAAAUUAAAAUCUAACUGGAUCAAAGGUCUGAAUAUUAAAACGGAAACACUAAAUCUAUUGGAAGACAAGUUGGGUAAAAACCUUGAAGACAUAGGGGUAGGUGGAGAAUUCAUGAACAGGAAUCAAACUGCAUGGGAAAUACUUCCCAGAAUCAACAACUGGGAUCAUGUCUUAUUAAAAAGUUUCUGCAUGUCAAAAGAAAUCUCUAGCAUAGUGAAAACAAAACCUACAAACUAGGAAACAAUCUUAGUGAACUGUCCCUAAGACAAAGGACUUCUGUCUAAAACAUAUAAAGAAUUAAAAAAAAAUCAGACCCCCAAAAUUCAAGAAUUCAAUCAAAAAAUGGGCAUCUGAGAUGAAUAUGCAAUUCUCAGAUGAAGAAAUACAAAUGGCAAAUAAAUACAUGAAAAAAUGUUCAUCAUCAUUAGUCAUUAGAGAAAUGCAAAUUAAAACUACACUGAGAUUUCACCUCACUCCAGAAAGAUUGGCCAGGACCAAGAAAACUAUCAACAACAAACGCUGGAGAGGCUGUGGGGAAAGGGGAACUCUCCUGUACUGUUGAUGGGAGUGUAGACUUGUGGAGGUCAGUCUGGAAAUCUCUCAGAAAGCUGGGAUUGGAAGUCCCAUUUGUUCCAGCUAUUCCACUUCUAGGCAUAUUCCCAGAAGAACUGAAAACAUCAUACUAUAGUGAUAUAAGUGUACCCAUGUUUAUAGCAGCACAAUUUGUAAUAGCCAGAUCUUGGAAACAACUUAAGUGUCCACCAACUGAGGAAUGGAUAAAAAAGUUGUGGUAUUUUUAUGCAAUGGAGUACUACUCAGCUAUAAAGAAUGAUCACAUUGAGAUAUUUAUAAAUAAAUGGAUGCAGCUUGAGAACAUACUCAUAAGCGAAAUAAAUCAAACUCACAUGUAUAAAUAUCAAAUAGUUUCCCUAGUGUAAGAAAUGGUAAGAAUACAUAAAAGUAUGUGGUAAUCAUGAUUCCCCAUUAUAUUGCUUUGAAGCCUUAUGUUUUCUUUCAUUAAAUGGAAUGUUUUUUGUUAUACUAAGAUGCUGAAAAAUUAAAAUAGUUGAUUAAAAGAUAAUUAACAAAAAUAGUUACUUAAAAAGAUAGUUAUUAGUAAUAUUGUCAUUCUGUACUGAGCUCAUUACCCUAGUAACCAAGCACCAACCACAUAGUUAUAAAUUAACUGACCGCGUCGUUCUGCUGUUCUGUAAUGCGUCAUCCCCCCCACCUUAGUGACCUGUGUGCUAUGUCAACUUUUGUUCCCCUUGUAAGAGACAAAUGAUGCUGUGUCAACCAUUGUUCCCUUUAUGAGAGAUAAAUGUUCCUGGGAUUGUCAGACCAAGGGCUAUGAGUUGGCUAACCACCCACUGUGAAAUGCCUCUUACCUCAAGCAAAGGGGAACAAAGGCCCACCUUAUUUCUGUUUCUCAUCACUAUGUACUUAAUGAUCAAUGAGCUAAUCAUAAAUGAACUAUAAAAAUCAGUCAAAAUUCUGACUCAGUUGCACAGCUUUGCAAAUUCCAUCUGCACUGUGUCGCUGGGCCAGCUAAAAUAAAA